rnacentral:rRNA from 1 species
UACGUAGGGUGCGGGCGUUAAUCGGAAUUACUGGGCGUAAAGCGCGUGUAGGCGGCUUGGCAAGUCAGAUGUGAAAGCCCUCGGCUUAACCGAGGAAGUGCGUCUGAAACUGCUGAGCUUGAGUGUCGGAGAGGAUGGCGGAAUUCCGCAAGUAGAGGUGAAAUUCGUAGAUAUGCGGAGGAACACCGGUGGCGAAGGCGGCCAUCUGGACGACCACUGACGCUGAGACGCGAAAGCGUGGGGAGCAAACAGG